rnacentral:lncRNA from 1 species
UGUCCGUCAAUUCCACGUAGGAAUUAGUGCCCUUAAAUGAAGAUGUUCAAGUUAUUGCCUAUAAAUAUCUUGAGAACUAUAAUAGAUAAAUAGCAACAAUGACCAGCAGUUCACGAUCUUAUAAUAUACCUUAAAGCAGGAACUUUCUAUACUAUAGAAAGUCCCUGCUUAAAGUUAACUAAUAGACAAACUUGUAUCUUUAAUUUUGGGGCCCUUUAUAGCUUGUUGUUCGGUGUGAGCCAAGGCUCCGUGUUGAAGGCCGUACAUUGACCUAUAAUGGUUUACUUUUUUAAAUUGUUAUUUGGAUGGAGAGUUGUCUCAUUGGCACUCACACCACAUCUUCCUAUAUCUAUUAUGUAUAUUCAUACUCUCCAUAAGGAGGAUACUCAACAUUUAUUCAUUUUAAUUAUCGGUAGUCAACAUGGUCGAAAUCGUCAGUCAACUCCUUGUAGCUAGUAUUAUAAAAAGAAACACCAAACAGAAAAUUGGCCAAAGGGCAUACAUUUAUUUUUGGCUGAAACUGUCAGUCAACUCCUCGUCACUGCCUUUAAAUGAUACCAUUUCUACAUUUUUUUUAAAUAUAGUAGGGAGAGGCUAUUAGCAAUAAAAAUUAGAAAAAACAUUAAGGUCUCCUAACGUAGUGGAAAGAUCACUUGACCACCAAACUUAACCGUGUUCACUGAUCCAUG